CUGAGACACGGCCCCCACUCCUACGGGAGGCAGCAGCAGGGAAUCUUCCGCAAUGGGCGAAAGCCUGACGGAGCGAUGCCGCGUGAGGGAUGAAGGUUUUUGGAUCGUAAACCUCUUUUCUUGGGGAAGAGCAAGGACGGUACCCAAGGAAUAAGUCACGGCUAACUACGUGCCAGCAGCCGCGGUAAUACGUAGGUGACGAACGUUGUCCGGAAUUAUUGGGCGUAAAGGGUCCGUAGGCCGUUUAGUCAGUCUCCUGUGAAAUCUCUAGGCUCAACCUAGAGAGGUCGGGAGAUACUGCUAAACUAGAGAUUGUCAGAGGCAAGUGGAAUUCCCGGUGUAGUGGUGAAAUGCGUAGAUAUCGGGAGGAACAUCAAUGGCGAAAGCAGCUUGCUGGGGCAUUUCUGACGCUGAGGGACGAAAGCGUGGGUAGCAAACCGGAUUAGAUACCCGGGUAGUCCAUGCCCUAAACGAUGAAUGCUAGGUUUGCGGGGUAUCGACCCCUUGUGAGCCGAAGCUAACGCGAUAAGCAUUCCGCCUGGGGACUACGGCCGCAAGGCUAAAACUCAAAGGAAUUGACGGGGGCCCGCACAAGCAGCGGAGCGUGUGGUUUAAUUCGAUGGUAAGCGAAGAACCUUACCUAGGCUUGACAUGUAAGUUACCGAUCUGAAAAGUGAGGAACCCGCAAGGGAGCUUACACAGGUGUUGCAUGGCUGUUGUCAGCUCGUGCCGUGAGGUGUUGGGUUAAGUCCCGCAACGAGCGCAACCCCUAUUACUAGUUAUUUUCUCUAGUGAGACUGCCCCUAAAAGGGAGGAAGGUGGGGACGACUUCAAGUCAUCAUGACUCUUACGUCUAGGGCUACACACACGCUACAAUGGCCAGUACAGACGGUUGCUAAGCCGCGAGGUGGAGCCAAUCCGAUAAAGC
rnacentral:rRNA from 1 species